rnacentral:lncRNA from 1 species
GGUGGGGUUCGUGUUGUUAAUUCUUUAGUUUUUUAUGUCAUGUCAUAUGUACUAUUGUUUUUCUGUUCGUCUUUUUUUCAUUUUUAGCCAUGGCGUUGUCGAUUUAUGAGUUUGACUCUCCCUUUGGUAUCUUUCGUCCCUCUUUUAUAGUUUUUUUUUUGUAAAUUUUAUCAAAAUGUUUUCCUCUGUAAACAUUGGGCCAAGUUCAAUAUAAAUUGAGAUAAUUGUAAGAAGCAAGAAUGUUCAGUAAAGUAAGAUCUACAAACAUAUCCAUAU